GGGUAACAAGAGCGAAACUCCGUCUCAAAAAAAAAAAAAAAAAAAAUCAUGCUCAAUAGGAUUACGCUGAGGCCC
rnacentral:snoRNA from 1 species